ACUCACGGCGGCCCGCGGCUGCCGCUGAUUAGCGGAUCAGAGAGCAGAGUGGGAAGCGGGCACAGCGCGGCCGCUCCUUCCCCGGGCACCGCCGGUCGGGCCGGGCCGGGCCGGGCCGGGCCGCCCCGAGUCACACAUCCUUCCCCUUCCAGCCCCCCUCAGCUCCUGCACAGUGUAUUUUUAUUCCUUCGGAAUAAACCGACGGCUUUGUCGGAGCACAAAUUCACCCUUCCAACAGCGAAAAGGCCUCCCCCAGCCCCUUCCCUGCCGCGUUGAGAGCCCCGACGGCACCACGGUGUGCAGCCCGCAGCGCUCCAGCGGCGCCCGCCUCAACGCUUCUGUCCCAAACUGAUCUGGGGGAAAAAAAGAAAAUUUCCUGCCAACUAGAGAAAAUUUCAUUUUGGAAACAACAAACAUUGUAUUCUGUGUUCCCUGGUUCCUGCAGCUUCUCAGUGAAAAUGGCAUUUGACAGGUAACUGACCAUUAGCUUUGUGUUCAUUUGUUGGUAUAAAUGGGAUUGGUGGGUGUUUUAUUUAUUUAUUUAUUUAUUUAUUGUUUGUUUGUUUGUUGGCAGCCUUGCUCUUAGGGCUGCCUGCAAUUCUAACACAGGGCUUCCAAGCUCUUGGUUGGUAUUUGCUGGUAGGUGAUUGGAAAGUUUGGAACUAAUGAAAGUUAUUG
rnacentral:lncRNA from 1 species